GAUGAACGCUGGCGGCGUGCCUAAUACAUGCAAGUCGAGCGAACGGACGAGAAGCUUGCUUUUCUGAUGUUAGCGGCGGACGGGUGAGUAACACGUGGAUAACCUACCUAUAAGACUGGGAUAACUUCGGGAAACCGGAGCUAAUACCGGAUAAUAUUUUGAACCGCAUGGUUCAAAAGUGAAAGACGGUCUUGCUGUCACUUAUAGAUGGAUCCGCGCUGCAUUAGCUAGUUGGUAAGGUAACGGCUUACCAAGGCAACGAUGCAUAGCCGACCUGAGAGGGUGAUCGGCCACACUGGAACUGAGACACGGUCCAGACUCCUACGGGAGGCAGCAGUAGGGAAUCUUCCGCAAAGGGCGAAAGCCUGACGGAGCAACGCCGCGUGAGUGAUGAAGGUCUUCGGAUCGUAAAACUCUGUUAUUAGGGAAGAACAUAUGUGUAAGUAACUGUACACAUCUUGACGGUACCUAAUCAGAAAGCCACGGCUAACUACGUG
rnacentral:rRNA from 1 species